UGACACAUAACAGCCCUUAAGAUGGUAACUCGCCGUCAUGGGGUGUCGGGGGUCGGAGGUUCAAAUCCUCUCGUGCCGACCA
rnacentral:tRNA from 1 species